AUUGAACGCUGGCGGCAGGCCUAACACAUGCAAGUCGAGCGGAUGAAGGGAGCUUGCUCCUGGAUUCAGCGGCGGACGGGUGAGUAAUGCCUAGGAAUCUGCCUGGUAGUGGGGGAUAACGUCCGGUAACGAGCGCUAAUACCGCAUACGUCCUGAGGGAGAAAGUGGGGGAUCUUCGGACCUCACGCUAUCAGAUGAGCCUAGGUCGGAUUAGCUAGUUGGUGGGGUAAAGGCCUACCAAGGCGACGAUCCGUAACUGGUCUGAGAGGAUGAUCAGUCACACUGGAACUGAGACACGGUCCAGACUCCUACGGGAGGCAGCAGUGGGGAAUAUUGGACAAAGGGCGAAAGCCUGAUCCAGCCAUGCCGCGUGUGUGAAGAAGGUCUUCGGAUUGUAAAGCACUUUAAGUUGGGAGGAAGGGAAGUAAGUUAAUACCUUGAUGUUUUGACGGUACCAAAAGAAAAAGCACCGGCUAACUUCGUG
rnacentral:rRNA from 1 species